AUCUCCAUGGUGACUGUUAUCUGCAAACGACGCCAUUGUUGUUUAGCAUCAGUGUUGCAAAAUCCAAGUCUCAGCUAUCAUUUUGCGGUUUGAUUCACACUUGUGACCAACUUUGCACCAUGUUCACGAGCGUUGCAAGUGUUUACCACCAAGCUCGGGAAGAGUUGAGAAAGUCUCAGCGUCCUACCAUUGCUGCCUGCCCCUCCGACCAUCCUGUCCUCUCUCCAGUAGUAGGUCAUCUCGAGUUUUCUUGACCUUUCCCCAUGAUUAAAACAAACGGUUGUGAUGUGGAGUUUUUGUCGCCACUUUAGGUGUAAACCAUUUACUAGAUUUAUACUAAUGAAUAUAAGCAAACAUUAAGUCAAGAUGACUGACUUGAAGCAAUAGACAACUUGGACAUAUUCUUUUAGGAUAAAAUCAGACAAUGUGUUUGUAAUAGGCCAGAAAGAAUCACAUUAUUUAGAUAUUAACCACUUUCCACACAUCUUCUGUCUUCUUAUACUGCCUUUCCUUCCUCUCUAAGCUGUCAACUGCUGAAGUUGAUUCCCCACCCAUCACCCAGACCCCUCUCCCUAACCCUGCCCUUCGGUCACUGUAUGGUUCCUCCAUGAACUUGGAGCAGGACAUCCCAGAGAUAGACUUGGGAGAUCCCUCAAAACCAUGUGCAAUACUUUCCUCCGUGAACUUGAGGCAGGACAUCCCUGACAUAGACUUGGGAAAUCCCACAUCGCCAUUUACAGUACAGCCUGUAAAAACAGAAUCCUAUGUCCUGAUUGAUGUGAGCCACCUGGAAGAACCAAGUCAGCCACAGUCAUUUGAGACAGCAUGCUGCUCCAGUGUAUUCAGCUUCAUCAAGGGACUGUUCACUCUGUACUAGAUGGACAUGUGAUGUGGCUUGAACAAUUUGAACAUUUACAUAAUUGUCAAAAUCUAAAGAACAUUUUGUGCCCAUUUGACCUAUCUGAGGCUCGGUUUCUUGAAAUAUGCAAAAUGAAAUGAUCUUUUGUCAGUAAAUAUUUCCAUGAAUCUGAUUUUGUAGUCAAGGUUUUGUUAUUACAUUUAUAAACGUUAUUGUUUUCUAUGGUAUAUGUGUUUCAGUUGUAAUUCUCAAGUUCCUCAGGGCAUACAAAUGGGAUGGGGAAAACAGGUUAUACAAUUAUGAGAAUACAGUGUUUUUGUCUUGGUCUGUUAAAAUAAGCAAAAGAAAAUUGUCAAAUACCAGUAAAUAUUUCCAUGAAUCUGA